rnacentral:rRNA from 1 species
UACGUAGGGUGCUAGCGUUGUCCGGAAUCAUUGGGCGUAAAGCGCGCGUAGGCGGCCCGGUAAGUCCGCUGUGAAAGUCAAAGGCUCAACCUUUGAAAGCCGGUGGAUACUGCCGGGCUAGAGUCCGGAAGAGGCGAGUGGAAUUCCUGGUGUAGCGGUGGAAUGCGCAGAUAUCAGGAGGAACACCAAUAGCGAAGGCAGCUCGCUGGGACGGUACUGACGCUAAGGCGCGAAAGCGUGGGGAGCGAACAGG